GACGAACGCUGGCGGCGUGCUUAACACAUGCAAGUCGAGCGGUAAGGCCCCUUCGGGGGUACACGAGCGGCGAACGGGUGAGUAACACGUGAGUAAUCUGCCCUUCAGUUCGGGAUAACCACCGGAAACGGUGGCUAAUACCGGAUACGACCAGCCCUGGCAUCGGGUGCUGGUGGAAAGUUUUUUCGCUGGAGGAUGUGCUCGCGGCCUAUCAGCUUGUUGGUGAGGUAACGGCUCACCAAGGCUUCGACGGGUAGCCGGCCUGAGAGGGUGACCGGUCACACUGGGACUGAGACACGGCCCAGACUCCUACGGGAGGCAGCAGUGGGGAAUAUUGGACAAUGGGCGGAAGCCUGAUCCAGCAACGCCGCGUGAGGGAAGACGGCCUUCGGGUUGUAAACCUCUUUCAGUACCGACGAAGCGUGAGUGACGGUAGGUACAGAAGAAGGACCGGCCAACUACGUGCCAGCAGCCGCGGUAAGAC
rnacentral:rRNA from 1 species